GACGAACGCUGGCGGCGUGCUUAACACAUGCAAGUCGAACGGAAAGGCCCUGCUUUUGUGGGGUGCUCGAGUGGCGAACGGGUGAGUAACACGUGAGUAACCUGCCCUUGACUUUGGGAUAACUUCAGGAAACUGGGGCUAAUACCGGAUAGGAGCUCCUGCUGCAUGGUGGGGGUUGGAAAGUUUCGGCGGUUGGGGAUGGACUCGCGGCUUAUCAGCUUGUUGGUGGGGUAGUGGCUUACCAAGGCUUUGACGGGUAGCCGGCCUGAGAGGGUGACCGGCCACAUGGGGACUGAGAUACGGCCCAGACUCCUACGGGAGGCAGAAGUGGGGAAUAUUGCACAAUGGGCGGAAGCCUGAUGCAGCAACGCCGCGUGCGGGAUGACGGCCUUCGGGUUGUAAACCGCUUUCGCCUGUGACGAAGCGUGAGUGACGGUAAUGGGUAAAGAAGCACCGGCUAACUGCGUG
rnacentral:rRNA from 1 species